rnacentral:rRNA from 1 species
AGAGUUUGAUCCUGGCUCAGGAUAAACGCUAGCGGCAGGCCUAACACAUGCAAGUCGAGGGGCAUCGGAUAGAGUACUUCGGUACUCUUGCCGGCGACCGGCGGACGGGUGCGUAACGCGUAUGCAACCUACCUUCAACAGGGGGAUAAUCCGAAGAAAUUUGGUCUAAUACCCCAUAAUAUUCCGACAGGCAUCUGUCGGAGUUGAAAGCUUCGGUGGUUGGAGAUGGGCAUGCGUUGUAUUAGCUAGAUGGUGAGGUAACGGCUCACCAUGGCGAUGAUACAUAGGGGGACUGAGAGGUUUUCCCCCCACACUGGUACUGAGACACGGACCAGACUCCUACGGGAGGCAGCAGUGAGGAAUAUUGGUCAAUGGACGGAAGUCUGAACCAGCCAUGCCGCGUGCAGGAAGACGGCUCUAUGAGUUGUAAACUGCUUUUGUACGAGGGUAAACGCAGAUACGUGUAUCUGUCUGAAAGUAUCGUACGAAUAAGGAUCGGCUAACUCCGUGCCAGCAGCCGCGGUAAUACGGAGGAUCCGAGCGUUAUCCGGAUUUAUUGGGUUUAAAGGGUGCGUAGGCUGUUUUUUAAGUUAGAGGUGAAAGCUCGACGCUCAACGUCGAAAUUGCCUCUGAUACUGAGAGACUAGAGUGUAGUUGCGGAAGGCGGAAUGUGUGGUGUAGCGGUGAAAUGCUUAGAUAUCACACAGAACACCGAUUGCGAAGGCAGCUUUCCAAGCUAUUACUGACGCUGAGGCACGAAAGCGUGGGGAGCGAACAGGAUUAGAUACCCUGGUAGUCCACGCAGUAAACGAUGAUAACUCGUUGCCGGCGAUACACAGUCGGUGACUUAGCGAAAGCGUUAAGUUAUCCACCUGGGGAGUACGUUCGCAAGAAUGAAACUCAAAGGAAUUGACG